UACGUAGGGGGCAAGCGUUGUCCGGAUUUAUUGGGCGUAAAGAGCGUGUAGGCGGUUAGGUAGGUCCGUUGUGAAAACUCGAGGCUCAACCUCGAGACGCCGAUGGAAACCAUCUAACUAGAGUCCGGAAGAGGAGAGUGGAAUUCCUGGUGUAGCGGUGAAAUGCGCAGAUAUCAGGAAGAACACCCGUGGCUAAGGCGGUUCUCUAGUACGGUACUGACGCUGAGACGCGAAAGCGUGGGGAGCGAACAGG
rnacentral:rRNA from 1 species